rnacentral:rRNA from 1 species
GAGUAACGCGUAUCCAACCUUCCGUACACUCAGGGAUAGCCUUUCGAAAGAAAGAUUAAUACCUGAUGGUAUGAUGAGAUUGCAUGAUAGCAUCAUUAAAGAUUUAUCGGUGUACGAUGGGGAUGCGUUCCAUUAGGUAGUAGGCGGGGUAACGGCCCACCUAGCCAACGAUGGAUAGGGGUUCUGAGAGGAAGGUCCCCCACAUUGGAACUGAGACACGGUCCAAACUCCUACGGGAGGCAGCAGUGAGGAAUAUUGGUCAAUGGACGAGAGUCUGAACCAGCCAAGUAGCGUGAAGGAUGAAGGUCCUACGGAUUGUAAACUUCUUUUAUAAGGGAAUAAACCCUCCCACGUGUGGGAGCUUGUAUGUACCUUAUGAAUAAGCAUCGGCUAACUCCGUGCCAGCAGCCGCGGUAAUACGGAGGAUGCGAGCGUUAUCCGGAUUUAUUGGGUUUAAAGGGAGCGCAGACGGGUCGUUAAGUCAGCUGUGAAAGUUUGGGGCUCAACCUUAAAAUUGCAGUUGAUACUGGCGUCCUUGAGUGCGGUUGAGGUGUGCGGAAUUCGUGGUGUAGCGGUGAAAUGCUUAGAUAUCACGAAGAACUCCGAUUGCGAAGGCAGCACACUAAUCCGUAACUGAC